UAGUUAAUUUUUUAUUAUCUCUACGAAUUGUUUUACCCGUCCUACCCCCCAAAUUAUUGUAGCAUCAACUGAAAAUGUGGGCAAUGUAAGCAAUGUUAAAUCUAAUUUUUCUGUGCAAAACCUAAUUAGCCAUUUUAAAAAAGGUUAACGCCAGCGCCUCAGACGGUUUUUGUUUAAUAAUCCUAUUACUGAUGGCUCAUCAUGUAUAAAAUGGUGCAGUUGGAUGCAAAAUUUCCACUUGUUUAUAAGUGUAUCGGGGAGAAAUGUAUAAAAUAAUCUACAGCGCAGGAGGCAGGUCAGUGCGGCAGGGAUUGCACUCGCCUUGAACGAACAAUGCCAACAUUGAAGCCCUCGGUUGGAGUCUGCACAGUUGGAGAUCUUUGGUGCCAUUUUAGACAUCUUUGGAUUUCAUCAAUCAAACUGACUGCAAUUUUCCAUAAAAACCCUGAAUUUGGGUCAGAAAGUGGGCAAAGCAGAUAAAGAUCAUUCGAGCUGUCUUAUGAGAUGAUAAAUAGAUAUCCUUUCAGUCCAACAAUGCAAGAAGUGCAGUUUUGUAAUUCACUUCCAUUGGUUUUGAAUGCAGAGUCGAAACAAUUUAUACAUGUUUUCCCAUGGUUUAGAAGAUGUCUUUACAUACUUGUCAAUAGUAACUUGACCUUUUUCCCCACUGAGUUACCAAGUGUUUUUUUUUUUCUUCCAGAGUACAGAAAAGGAUUUUUUUUUCUGUUUGCGACUAAAUCAAUAGAUUAUUUCUUCUUGUCCUAAGCAACAGCAGAUUGUAGAUAGCUCGUAGCAAGCCGCACUCUGCUGUGCUGUUUUGCCAUGUGCUGCUUUAGAGACAGGUGGUCCGAGCUGGGUUUUAAACAAACCUGUUGGACUUGCUUCGAGCAUAUUCUUGAACUUGACGAAUAGCCUAAAGGUGAAGGAAGACAAGUCCUACAAGAAACCAAAUCCCAGAAAGAAACCCGGCAGACUGUCUCAUGACCUCGAAGACCGCUUGAAAUCUUAACUGAAAGGAUGUGAGUGAAAAAAAGCAGGGUUACAGUUCUUUUUUUUUUUUCUUUUCACAGUAAAACAAGUCAUUCUGAUCCUGGCUGAUACACUGUCUGCCAUAGGCUCACUGCUGCGUUUAACCCAGGCUCUCGUGACUUUCCCUCCCCAAACUGCCCGGCUGUGUCAUCUUGUUUUCGUUCGUUGCGUUUAGCUGGAUUCAUAAUUUAAGCUUUCCUGGGCGGCUGAGGGGUCGGAGUCCUGCAUGACAAUGUGCUCUCUUUGCGACGGUCCAGUGAGUCGGCUGGUACAUAUAGACACAAGUGCGCAUUGCCUGUUAUCACACAGUCCCGAGCUGUGCAUGGAUGUGUGUAAACCCCAUUAGUAAUUAAAGCAAUGAUAACGGCACUCUGGAGAACUGUUGUUCUUAGGUGAUGCACAAGGUGGGUAAAUACUCUUAUUUUGCGCAGCUGGGGAAACUGAAGCACAGGGAUGCUAAGUAAUGUCCCCAAGGCUAGGGACGGAGUCAGUGGCAGAGAGGGGAAUGGAGCUCACGUCUCUUGACCCUCGUCCCCUGCAACGGAGCAGGCUGUAUAAACCCCACACCUCAAAUGCUAUCCCAGGAAGACUCGGGAGUGCUCCUCACAGCCUCCUGGUCUUCCUGCUUAACUAGCCAGGCAUGUAGGCAUUAUUCCUUCCCCUUCACUUGGCUUGAAGGGGAGGGGAGAGAGGGAUGUGAUGAGCUUUUUUCACCUUUAGCCCCUUUCAUUCUGCAAUUUACUGUAAACGGAGCUUGCUCACAAACAGGUAGCAGCGCGACACAUCUUAAAACAAAGUUCUGUGUCAUCCAGAAGGGCCUAUUUCAGCGAGCAAGACCCCUGAUUAAACUAACUGGAGUUCUGUAGAGUGAGGAGCUGGAAAACACAUAUUCCUGUCCCUGGCCGGACAGGAUGUGCAAGACUCUACUCACAGUUUACUCCGGACCGACCUCAGAGUGCAGGGGAUUAACCAGGAGCUUCAGGGGGCAACGCACCAACGCCCCCUUCUCCACGCAGCACUGUGUGAAGUUUGCCGAGAGACUGAACAAGCCGGCCAGGCACGACGGUCCCCUGGCCAUCAGGGGCUUCAUAGAUCGGUCCCUUAGGUCUUAAGAGAGUAAUUAGUAAUAAGCAAAUCCUGUUGUUUCUAAUUGUUCUCACCCCUAAAGGGGAUACUUUCGAGGAGUUUGAUUCAGCUCUCCCUAAAGAGGACAACACUGAGCCUCUUCCCACAUUGACAA